UCCCAUAUUGUCUAGUGCUUAGGAUACCUGGCUCUCAACCAGGAGGCUAGGGUUCAAUUUCCGGGAUGGGAA
rfam:Daphnia pulex DAPPTscaffold_5735_Cont16745, whole genome shotgun sequence.